UGCAGUCGAACGAAGUAGCAAUACUUAGUGGCAGACGGGUGAGUAACAUGUGGGUAUCUUCCCUUUGGUGAGGAAUAACACGAGGAAACUUGUGCUAAUACCUCAUAAGUCUUUACGGAGAAAGCUUUAUGCGCCAUUGGAUGAGCCCGCACUUGAUUAGUUUGUUGGUGGGGUAAUGGCCUACCAAGACUGUGAUCAAUAGCUGAUUUGAGAGGAUGAUCAGCCACAUUGGGACUGAGACACGGCCCAAACUCCUACGGGAGGCAGCAGUAGGGAAUCUUGCACAAUGGAGGAAACUCUGAUGCAGCGAUGCCGCGUGAGUGAAGAAGGCCUUUGGGUUGUAAAGCUCUUUCGUCGGGGAAGAAAAUGACUGUACCCGAAUAAGAAGGUCCGGCUAACUUCGUGCCAGCAGCCGCGGUAAUACGAAGGGACCUAGCGUAGUUCGGAAUUACUGGGCUUAAAGAGUUCGUAGGUGGUUAAAAAAGUUGGUGGUGAAAUCCCAGAGCUUAACUCUGGAACUGCCAUCAAAACUUUUUAGCUAGAGUAUGAUAGAGGAAAGCAGAAUUUCUAGUGUAGAGGUGAAAUUCGUAGAUAUUAGAAAGAAUACCAAUUGCGAAGGCAGCUUUCUGGAUCAUUACUGACACUGAGGAACGAAAGCAUGGGUAGCGAAGAGGAUUAGAUACCCUCGUAGUCCAUGCCGUAAACGAUGUGUGUUAGACGUUGGAA
rnacentral:rRNA from 1 species